GUGCGGACGUGUCUCGGGCGUGACCUUUGAGCAGCUGCGCCACCGGCUCAGCCUCGCGGCGGGGGAAACCCGAGCUCCCAACAAAACGGUUCCAUCUUUGGCUAGGCCUUUGAUGUUAUGUGGUCAACAGGGACUGAGGCUCUUUAAGCCCUUAAAUCUCUAAGGGCUAAAUCUCCUUCCUGAUAUUCGCCCCCAAACCGGCACCAAAGAAGGCCCAGAGAGGUUUAACAACUUCCUCAGAAUCACACAGCUUCCAAAUGGUUGGGUUGGGUUUACAUUUAGGCGGUCUUGCUCCAGAGCCAGUGCUCCUAACCUUUGCAAGCCACGAACCUCAAGAAAGUGGAGAAGGAAACGCUGGGAAAUCUGGAAGUCAGACAUGAGAGCUAAUGCUGGCAGCUGUUGGGAUGUCCUCUUCCAGGAAUGGUGAUGAGUUUCCCUGGAUCCAGCCCUGGCUUGGCUGAGGUUUUUCUCACUGUAAGAAGAGGACAAUAGCCUAUGAUCUACAGUGCCCAUUCCAACUCAGAGAAUCUUUACAUCUGGAGAUCUAUAGCAGGGCUAUCCCUAGUGACAUGCGUGAAGAAGCUUGGAAAUGGUGCUGGGUAGGAGCUGAGUGUGCAGAAUGUGGAAAGGCAUUCUAAACCAAAGGAAGAACACGAGUAAAGAUGAUGAAGCAGGGAUAAGGCUAAAAUGAAAUUUGUGAUCUGAUCCACAUACAAGCACAGUGUAGUACAGCUGGAAUAUAGAGAAGAGCUUGAAGACUUAUGAGCAACUAUCCCGGUACUCUUGGAGGCUCUGCAACCACAGUUUGAGAAACUCCGCGUUCAAAGUUAAAAACUGUCACCUGAAUAGUUAAUAACAUCAAAGAUUGUGAAAGCAAGUAUAAAUAACACAGAGAUUAAAAUAAUGAGGCAGGAUCAGAAA
rnacentral:lncRNA from 1 species